AUUGAACGCUGGCGGCAGGCCUAACACAUGCAAGUCGAGCGAGCGGCGGACGGGUGAGUAAUGUCUGGGAAACUGCCUGAUGGAGGGGGAUAACUACUGGAAACGGUAGCUAAUACCGCAUAAAAUCAGAUUUGCCCAGAUGUGCUUGGCUAGACGGUGGGGUAACGACUCACCUGGGCGACGAUCCAUAGCUGAUAUGAGAGGAUGACCAGCCACCCUGGAACUGAGACACGGCCCAGACUCCGAGGGUAGGCAGAAGUGGGGAAUAUUGCACAAUGGGCGAAAGCCUGAUGUAGCCAUGCCGCGGGGGUGAAGAAGGCUUUCGGGUUGUAAAGCACUUUCUGUGGGGAGGCGUUACCCGCAGAAGAAGCACCGGCUAACUCCGUGCCAGCCGCCGCGGUAAUAC
rnacentral:rRNA from 1 species